rnacentral:rRNA from 1 species
AUAAUAUAAGAUUUAGCCUGCCCGCUGAGUAAUUGAAUGGCCGCGGUAUUUUGACCGUGCAAAGGUAGCAUAAUAAUUAGUUUUUUGAUUGAAAGCUGGAAUGAAUGGCUGGACGAGAAAAUCUCUGUCUCUAAUUAAUUUGAAGUAAAAUUUUAUUUUUAAGUUAAAAAGCUUAAAUUUUAUUAAAAGACGAGAAGACCCUAUAGAGUUUUAUAUUUUUAUUUGAAUUUAAUUUUAGGAAUUUAUAUUUUGUUUAUUUUAAGAAUAUUUUAUUGGGGUGAUAAAAAGAUUCAAUUAACUCUUUUUUUAUUUUUACAUUAAUUUUUGAUUAUUUGAUCCGUUAUUUAACGAUUAAAAGAAUAAAUUACCUUAGGGAUAACAGCGUAAUCUUUUUAGAGAGUUCUUAUCGAAAUAAGGGAUUGCGACCUCGAUGUUGGAUUAAAGUUAAUUUUUGGUGUAGAAGCUAAAAUAUUGAGUCUGUUCGACUUUUAAAACUUUACAUGAUCUGAGUUUAAACCGGUGUGAGCCAGGUUGGUUUCUAUCUUUAUUUUUGUAUAAUAUUUUAGUACGAAAGGACCAA